rnacentral:rRNA from 1 species
UACGUAGGGUGCAAGCGUGUCCGGAAUUAUUGGGCGUAAAGAGCUCGUAGGCGGUCUGUCGCGUCUGCUGUGAAAACUCGGGGCUUAACCCCGGGCCUGCAGUGGGUACGGGCAGACUAGAGUGCGGUAGGGGAGACUGGAAUUCCUGGUGUAGCGGUGAAAUGCGCAGAUAUCAGGAGGAACACCGAUGGCGAAGGCAGGUCUCUGGGCCGCAACUGACGCUGAGGAGCGAAAGCAUGGGGAGCGAACAGG